rnacentral:rRNA from 1 species
UACGUAGGGUGCAAGCGUUGUCCGGAAUUAUUGGGAGUAAAGAGCUCGUAGGCGGUUUGUAGCGUCUGCUGUGAAAACUCGGGGCUUAACCCCGGGCCUGCAGUGGGUACGGGCAGACUAGAGUGCGGUAGGGGAGACUGGAAUUCCUGGUGUAGCGGUGAAAUGCGCAGAUAUCAGGAGGAACACCGGUGGCGAAGGCGGGUCUCUGGGCCGUAACUGACGCUGAGGAGCGAAAGCAUGGGGAGCGAACAGG